rnacentral:rRNA from 1 species
UACGAAGGGGGCUAGCAUUGCUCGGAAUCACUGGGCGUAAAGCGCACGUAGGCGGCUUUUUAAGUCAGGGGUGAAAUCCUGGAGCUCAACUCCAGAACUGCCUUUGAUACUGAGAGCUUGAGUCCGGGAGAGGUGAGUGGAACUGCGAGUGUAGAGGUGAAAUUCGUAGAUAUUCGCAAGAACACCAGUGGCGAAGGCGGCUCACUGGCCCGGUACUGACGCUGAGGUGCGAAAGCGUGGGGAGCAACAGG